rnacentral:rRNA from 1 species
CAGUCGCCGCGGUAACACAGGGGGUGCAAGCGUUAAUCGGAAUUACUGGGCGUAAAGCGCGCGUAGGUGGUUCGCCAAGUUGGAUGUGAAAUCCCCGGGCUCAACCUGGGAACUGCAUCCAAAACUGGCGAGCUAGAGUAUGGUAGAGGGUGGUGGAAUUUCCUGUGUAGCGGUGAAAUGCGUAGAUAUAGGAAGGAACAUCAGUGGCGAAGGCGACCACCUGGACUGAUACUGACACUGAGGUGCGAAAGCGUGGGGAGCAAACAGGAUUAGAUACCCGUGUAGUCCCUGUCUCUUAUAA